rnacentral:rRNA from 2 species
ACGAACUCUGGUAUUGAUUGGUGCUUGCAUCAUGAUUUACAUUUGAGUGAGUGGCGAACUGGUGAGUAACACGUGGGAAACCUGCCCAGAAGCGGGGGAUAACACCUGGAAACAGAUGCUAAUACCGCAUAACAACUUGGACCGCAUGGUCCGAGUUUGAAAGAUGGCUUCGGCUAUCACUUUUGGAUGGUCCCGCGGCGUAUUAGCUAGAUGGUGGGGUAACGGCUCACCAUGGCAAUGAUACGUAGCCGACCUGAGAGGGUAAUCGGCCACAUUGGGACUGAGACACGGCCCAAACUCCUACGGGAGGCAGCAGUAGGGAAUCUUCCACAAUGGACGAAAGUCUGAUGGAGCAACGCCGCGUGAGUGAAGAAGGGUUUCGGCUCGUAAAACUCUGUUGUUAAAGAAGAACAUAUCUGAGAGUAACUGUUCAGGUAUUGACGGUAUUUAACCAGAAAGCCACGGCUAACUACGUGCCAGCAGCCGCGGUAAUACGUAGGUGGCAAGCGUUGUCCGGAUUUAUUGGGCGUAAAGCGAGCGCAGGCGGUUUUUUAAGUCUGAUGUGAAAGCCUUCGGCUCAACCGAAGAAGUGCAUCGGAAACUGGGAAACUUGAGUGCAGAAGAGGACAGUGGAACUCCAUGUGUAGCGGUGAAAUGCGUAGAUAUAUGGAAGAACACCAGUGGCGAAAGGCGGCUGUCUGGUCUGUAACUGACGCUGAGGCUCGAAAGUAUGGGUAGCAACAGGAUUAGAUACCCUGGUAGUCAUACCGUAACGAUGAUGCUAGUGUGGAGGGUUUCCGCCCUUCAGUGCUGCAGCUAACGCAUAAGCAUUCCGCCUGGGG